CGCCCCUCAUCCUUCCCGAUUCCAUGGCCUCCCAACCCUAGCCGGUUGCGCCUCCGCGGAAAAUGAAUCGGUGAUGGAGAGGAUAGAUUGAACCCCGCAGGUCCUAGGCGUCGCUGCUGAAGAGAAAAGAAGCCCCAACACGACGAAGGGCACAUCGACGCGGCGAGCACGCACGCAACUGCAAGUCCGCCCCCCGCCACCAAUCCCCUAUCUUCUCUGCUUCGAGACGCACGCCACCCUCACCCGCGCUGCCGCUGGAUCAUGGAUGGCGGGGCGAAAGGGCCAAGACCUGCGACUGAUUUUGCGGCGCAUCAGCAGCAAGCAAUGGCGGGCCUGUACGUGCCAGUGGAUCUACAUAAGGUGUCGGCGCAGGGCUGGCACUGCGGCCAGGUGACGUCGCUACCGCCGCCCAGCACCAUGCAGAGCUGCCGCGCGAGCCGGCCCACGCCAACGCGCGAGAAGUACUCGCCGCUGCCCUGCCCGACGCCGGACACCACGGCUCCUGUACCUCUCUUGCCGACGCCUCGAAGACCGGCGUGGUGUUGGCCGGCUUCAGGUCGGCGCGGGAGAUCGCGUCGGCGGCCCGGGGAGUCGCGGCGUAGGCGAGGGAGCACGUGGGACUUGUAGCUCUGGUGCCGGCCCUGCUCCUCCCGAAGGAAGGCCCUGGAGUCGAGCCGCAGGGUGAGAGCCCACUCCGGUGAAGGAUUGGAUCGCUGGAGAAUGACCUUCUCUGUUCUUCAAUCGCGUUCUGGUGAAGGAGUCGAUUGCCGGUGAAAUACGUAAUUAUCUUUGCUUUUCUCCUGUUAUCUUCCCCAUGAAUCGCUAACUGCAGUUAGGAACAUCAGAUUGCUUUCAACUUUAGAAUAUUUUCCCUUGAUCAACCUCUGCCCUUUUAUUCGUGGAAGAAGCAGCCGGUGAGGACGACCUGCUCUCCUUUUCAAUCUGAGCUAUAUUGUCCGGUUUGGUACCUCAUGUUGGCAUGAAAUUUAAAAAUUCGGAUGAAGCUUGGGCAUUUUGCCUUAGCUGUGGUGGUCAAAAGGGCUUUGAGAUUCGAAAAAGAUAUACGAACAAAAGGUCCGCAGAUGGCAAGCUAAUCGGCCUGCAGCUGUCGACAAGGACGGCGUGGCACAGCCGACCACUACCAUGGAGAUGGGUGUGCAGGUCGUCGACGUGGGGUUGCUGCGCGCGUAUGCCGAGGUGUUCAUCACGGGCGACGACUCGAGGAGGCCGACGAACAGGACGCCCUUGGACCAGCAUGGCGGGGGGAGGCCAUGUAGCACACGUUGCUCUGGUUGCCCUGUAUCCUGGACGCCGCCGACCACAGGGGCUCCGGCUGCACGUGUUUCCCGGCCACCUCCGACAUGGGGGCUCUCGCGACGUGUUGCUUGGUAUCCCGGCCACCGCGGACAGCGAGGGCUCCCUUUGCACGUGUUGCUUUGUUUCCCGGCCGCCGCUGACCACUCGGGCUCCGGCUUCACGUGUUGCUCUGCGUCCACCGCUCCUUUGGCGACAAUGAGGACACACCGAGAGCUCAUUCUACCCCGACGGAAACUGGAUUGUUUUUUUGAGAGGGAGAACAGGAAUUCUAGGGGAACGAGGAGAUUAUUGAAAUUAGGCGGUCAUCAUGGUUUGGAUAUUUUUGUUGUUUUUCUUUUCGGUUUCAUACUACUAUUGGAUUUUGUUGUUUCUCACUAAGAGCUAUUCAACUUAUAAUCCCAAUGUUCUGUUGUUAUUUUCCAAACUAUUAAAAACUGGGUAUGUGAUUUAUUGUGAAUGUUCACAAGAGAAGCUUACUAUUUGAAAUUACAGGUUGCAAAUACCUUCGUUACUCUGGACCUUGUCAUGGAAGGAUUAACACUAAAUGACCAUAAAUGAAUUACAUUGGCCAGGACCUUUCAGAUUAUGAGGGCGAGGAUGUCUUAUUGAUACAACUUGAUGUUAUGCAAUUUAAGAGGUCAUGGCUGCAAUAUAUGACAAACAAUUAUAUCUGCACUACAUGAUGAACAUCUAUAUAAUACCAUGGUUACCCGCGAGGUGUUGGUGAUGGCGUUGGUUGCCAAGAUGCAGUACUCGAUCGAGGGGGGACAUAAUGCAAAUAUACUUGGCCACAAUUUAAUUUUCUUCAUGGACUGAAUUUGUAUCAAUUAGUUAACGAUAUUUGGUAGUUGUUACGCAAUGGACUUGGGCAUGUAUUCAUAAAGCAUGAUAUUUGUUAGUCGAGACGUGCGUUGCACGUGCAUGCUUACUAGUUUUUUUUAACUGGAAUUCUA